rnacentral:tRNA from 1 species
GCCCGUUGCGGAACUGGCCGACGCGCUCGACUUGAGUUCAAGGAGUGCUGGUUUGAUUGCGGCCAGGGGCGCCA